ensembl:lncRNA
AUUAGUACUGCUCUGUUACUGGUCAGUGUUGCAGUGUAAGCAACUGUCAAUGAGGAAGGAUUAGUGAAGCGAUUCAGCCAACGGUUGUCAGGUGGAGAGUGAGCUACUGAUUAGAACUAAACUUUACUCAUAAAGGGAAGAAAGGACUGGUAAAAGCCGAUGGAAGCAUUUCACCUUUUGUGUUCUCAUUUCAACUCAGAAGACCAAUGGUUUUCUAAUUCACUUUGGAGCAGAAUUCUGUUUUUAAAUUUAAUCUCAUGUGGAAGCUCAAUAUAGAAAACAGAUAGAAAUGGAGUUGAUCUAUUUUAAGCUGCCUCUGCUUUGCCCUUUUGCAAGUGGCCUCUGACCUUGGAACACAGUUUGAAAACCACUACUUCAACCAGUUCAAUACAUUUAAUGACAUUUCUUGUUCCCCUAUUUCUAUAUAAUUUGUUGGGCCUGUUACUACACGAAAGGAACAAGUUGCUCGUUUUCAGUGAUACAUGGACUCAGGGAUUCCUCCAGAAUACAUUUAGUAAAUUACUUCUAGUGAGCUAAAUUGUACUUUUAACCUGAAAGAGAUCAUGAAAUUCAGAAGAGAAAGCAACCUACAUCUCAUUUCAUUCUUUUUGUUAGGUUCUGCUCAUUCUGUACAGUUUGGGUUUUUUAAG